AAGGUUUCCGUAGGUGAACCUGCGGAAGGAUCAUUACAGUGAAAAACGGUAAGCGGGAGGGGGGGCUGCUGCUGGCCUUUGUCGGGCAUGUGCGCGCCUUUCUCUCGCGACGCAUCCACUUUCCUACAACCCUGUGCACCUGUCGGCGAGUGCCUCGGGAUCUCGAGGCCCUCGCUGCCCCUUUUACAAUCGCUCUUAAUACGAACGCAUGUCUUAAACCCCACGGGGUGAAGUUUAAAGUACAACUUUCAACAACGGAUCUCUUGGCUUUUGCAUCGAUGAAGAACGCCGCGAAAGUGCGAAACGUAAUGUGAAUUGCAGAAUUCAGUGAAUCAUCGAAUCUUUGAACGCAUCUUGCGCUCCUUGGUAUUCCGAGGAGCAUGCCUGUUUGAGUGUCGUGUGAAACCUCGAAGCCCUUUCCCUUCGGUGUCAGGGUUGUCGGAUUUGGAUGUUUGCGGUGUUGAGAGAGGCCCCCUUAGAGGCCUCGACCGCUCGUCUUGAAAUGCAUUAGCUUGGUCCCCCCCUCGGACGACGACGGCGUGAUAAUAGACGCUUUGUUGAACUCGUCGGAGGUCUAAUCGAGAGGGGGACCGCUGACAGCCGUCCUUUGCGGGACAGUGUUUGAACGUGUGACCUCAAAUCAGGUAGGACUACCCGCUGAACUUAAGCAUAUCAUUAAGCGGAGGAA
rnacentral:rRNA from 1 species